rnacentral:rRNA from 1 species
UACGUAGGGUGCAAGCGUUAUCCGGAAUUAUUGGGCGUAAAGAGCUCGUAGGCGGUUUGUCACGUCUGCUGUGAAAACUGGAGGCUCAACCUCCAGCCUGCAGUGGGUACGGGCAGACUAGAGUGCGGUAGGGGAGAUUGGAAUUCCUGGUGUAGCGGUGGAAUGCGUAGAGAUCAGGAGGAACACCCGUGGCGAAGGCGGCCUUCUGGGUCCGCCCUGACGCUGAGGCGCGAAAGCUAGGGGAGCGAACGGG